AUGAACGCUAGCUACAGGCUUAACACAUGCAAGUCGAGGGGCAGCAUGGUCUUAGCUUGCUAAGACUGAUGGCGACCGGCGCACGGGUGAGUAACACGUAUCCAACCUGCCGUCUACUCUUGGACAGCCUUCUGAAAGGAAGAUUAAUACAAGAUGGCAUCAUGAGUCCGCAUGUUCACAUGAUUAAAGGUAUUCCGGUAGACGAUGGGGAUGCGUUCCAUUAGAUAGUAGGCGGGGUAACGGCCCACCUAGUCUUCGAUGGAUAGAGGUUCUGAGAGGAAGGUCCCCCACAUUGGAACUGAGACACGGUCCAAACUCCUACGGGAGGCAGCAGUGAGGAAUAUUGGUCAAUGGGCGAGAGCCUGAACCAGCCAAGUAGCGUGAAGGAUGACUGCCCUAUGGGUUGUAAACUUCUUUUAUAAAGGAAUAAAGUCGGGUAUGGAUACCCGUUUGCAUGUACUUUAUGAAUAAGGAUCGGCUAACUCCGUGCCAGCAGCCGCGGUAAUACGGAGGAUCCGAGCGUUAUCCGGAUUUAUUGGGUUUAAAGGGAGCGUAGAUGGAUGUUUAAGUCAGUUGUGAAAGUUUGCGGCUCAACCGUAAAAUUGCAGUUGAUACUGGAUAUCUUGAGUGCAGUUGAGGCAGGCGGAAUUCGUGGUGUAGCGGUGAAAUGCUUAGAUAUCACGAAGAACUCCGAUUGCGAAGGCAGCCUGCUAAGCUGCAACUGACAUUGAGGCUCGAAAGUGUGGGUAUCAAACAGGAUUAGAUACCCUGGUAGUCCACACGGUAAACGAUGAAUACUCGCUGUUUGCGAUAUACUGCAAGCGGCCAAGCGAAAGCGUUAAGUAUAGCACCUGGAGAGUACGCCGGCAACGGUGUAACUCAGAGGAAUUGUCGGGAGUCGGCACAAGCGGGGGAACAUGUGGUUUAAUUCGAUGAUACGCGAGGAACCUUACCCGGGCUUAAAUUGCAGAUGAAUUACGGUGAAAGCCGUAAGCCGCAAGGCAUCUGUGAAGGUGCUGCAUGGUUGUCGUCAGCUCGUGCCGUGAGGUGUCGGCUUAAGUGCCAUAACGAGCGCAACCCUUGUUGUCAGUUACUAACAGGUUCCGCUGAGGACUCUGACAAGACUGCCAUCGUAAGAUGUGAGGAAGGUGGGGAUGACGUCAAAUCAGCACGGCCCUUACGUCCGGGGCUACACACGUGUUACAAUGGGGGGUACAGAGGGCCGCUACCACGCGAGUGGAUGCCAAUCCCCAAAACCUCUCUCAGUUCGGACUGGAGUCUGCAACCCGACUCCACGAAGCUGGAUUCGCUAGUAAUCGCGCAUCAGCCACGGCGCGGUGAAUACGUUCCCGGGCCUUGUACACACCGCCCGUCAAGCCAUGGGAGCCGGGGGUACCUGAAGUGCGUAACCGCGAGGAGCGCCCUAGGGUAAAACUGGUGACUGGGGCU
rnacentral:rRNA from 1 species